GUACACUCCUACGGGAGGCAGCAGUGGGGAAUUUUGGACAAUGGGCGAAAGCCUGAUCCAGCAAUGCCGCGUGUGUGAAGAAGGCCUUCGGGUUGUAAAGCACUUUUGUCCGGAAAGAAAUCCUUGGCUCUAAUACAGUCGGGGGAUGACGGUACCGGAAGAAUAAGCACCGGCUAACUACGUGCCAGCAGCCGCGGUAAUACGUAGGGUGCGAGCGUUAAUCGGAAUUACUGGGCGUAAAGCGUGCGCAGGCGGUUUGCUAAGACCGAUGUGAAAUCCCCGGGCUCAACCUGGGAACUGCAUUGGUGACUGGCAGGCUAGAGUAUGGCAGAGGGGGGUAGAAUUCCACGUGUAGCAGUGAAAUGCGUAGAGAUGUGGAGGAAUACCGAUGGCGAAGGCAGCCCCCUGGGCCAAUACUGACGCUCAUGCACGAAAGCGUGGGGAGCAAACAGGAUUAGAAACCCCAGUAGUCCCA
rnacentral:rRNA from 1 species